CAGCCGCCGCGGUAAUACGAAGGUGGCAAGCGUUGUUCGGAAUCACUGGGCUUAAAGCGCACGCAGGCGGAACAGAAAGUGUCUUGUGAAAGCCCCCGGCUUAACCGGGGAAUUGCUCGGCAAACUCCUGUUCUUGAGUCAAGUAGGGGUACAUGGAACUCUUAGUGGAGCGGUGGAAUGCGUAGAUAUUAAGAGGAACGCCAAUGGUGAAGACAGUGUACUGGGCUUGUACUGACGCUGAGGUGCGAAAGCGUGGGGAGCGAACGGGAUUAGAUACCCCGGUAGUCCACGCCGUAAACGAUGUCUACUAGGUUGUGGAGGUUCUGACACACUCACAGCCGAAGCAAAAGUGUUAAGUAGACCGCCUGGGGAGUACGGUCGCAAGGCUAAAACUCAAAGGAAUUGACGGGGGCUCACACAAGCGGUGGAGCAUGUGGAUUAAUUCGAAGCAACGCGCAGAACCUUACCUGGGUUUGACAUGUUUGGAUGCUAACUGGGAAACCAGGGAUGCUGCCCUUCGGGGUGAAACCUACACAGGUGCUGCAUGGCUGUCGUCAGCUCGUGUCGUGAGAUGUCGGGUUAAGUCCUUUAACGAGCGAAACCCUUGCCGUUAGUUGCCAGCGGGUAAUGCCGGGGACUCUAGCGGGACUGCCGGUGUCAAACCGGAGGAAGGCGGGGAUGACGUCAAGUCCUCAUGGCCUUUAUGCCCAGGGCUUCACACGUGCUACAAUGGUUACUACAAAGCGACGCAAGACCGCGAGGUGGAGCAAAUCGCAAAAAAGUAGCCUCAGUUCGGAUUGUAGGCUGACAACUCGCCUGCAUGAAGUUGGAAUCGCUAGUAAUCGCGUAUCAGCUACGACGCGGUGAAUGUGUUCCUGAGCCUUGUACACACCGCCCGUCAAGUGAUGGAAGUCGGGAGCACCCGAAGUCAGAUUGCUAACCAGUUUACUGGAAGCGUCUGCCGACGGUGAGUUCGAUGACUGGCACUAAGUCGUAACAAGGUAACCGUA
rnacentral:rRNA from 1 species